rnacentral:misc_RNA from 1 species
AUAGAUCCUCUCGACGCGACAGCGCGGAAUUCUUCUCGGGCUAGCAUGAUCUUCUUUUCCGUUAACGCAGACACCUUUAGUUUUUCAUUAACCGAUUCUGCAGUUACUUUGGUUUCUCUGAGCACAUUUAUAAGCGCUUCAUCGUCUACUAAAGAGCCUUCGGAAGAGGUGAGUCGAUGUAACAGAGUGCUUUCGAGUUCUUUCAUUGAUCGUUGGUUCGUCAUCACAGAUUCGAACAGAGUCACCCUUUCGGCUUCUAAGUCUGCCUUUUCCAUAAGGAUAACUCUACCAAGUAGCUGAUCUUCCAGGCCUAACAUCGUGACGGUAAAAUCGAUUAUCGAUGUCUUUGCUGAAAUUUCAGGACUGUAAGCAGGAUUUGGUAAUUUCGUGGUGAUGUACAACAUAAAACCGGGCAUUACAUCGCAUUCUUUGUCACCGACGAUUACUUUCUCGAUGGAACCGGAUUUAAUAAAAUUCUUUUCAAGCACGUUAUCGAGAACUGGAUCUAACUCUUCCGCGAUGUCUUCUAUCAGCAAUGGUCUGCCUAAAGAGAGACUGUCUUCAAGAUGAGAGUCAUACUUUUGCCUGUCCGAUGUUUCUAACAGUGCUCCUAUACCCCACACCAAAGCAAAAACGUAAAAGCGUUUUAGAUGUUCGGCUGUCAUCGGUUGGCGUUUUUCAUCUUCUGUUUCUUCGUCGUUGUCUUCUUCUAUGCGUACUUCGGGUGGAAUUAGACCCUCGAGGAGACAUAACAUUUGUCGCACUAUGUUGCAUUGUAGAACGUCUAUUGUCAACGAUAAAGCUUGAGUGCUCCAUGAAUAAAUCUAUAAAUUAAUUAUAUGUUGCCGCAAUUACAAUAUUACAAUAUUACAAUGUUACAAUACAAUAAUAUUGUUAGAAAUUUUAUUUAGGAUACAAAUAAAUAGUUUCUAGAAUUAACUUAAUAUUUUCAUAGUAAUUUUUUCAGGAAAUAUGAAAUAUGAAAUGUGAAAAAUAGUUUCGUAAUAAGGUAAAACAAUGUGAUUAAUUUUUCAUGUUAAUUUGUAAUUACAUUACUAAUUUGUUUAGAAUUGAAUAUUUACACAUAUGGAUCAAAUGGAAAUAUGGGAUAAUGGACAAAUAUAAACUCGAAAUAUCAACAACAAAAUAUAUAUUGAAGUAUCUGGAAAAUAAGACAUAAUUUUCUUCACGUUUAAUUUUCUUUAUCAACAUUUGAACAAAAUUUGCGCAAGUACCUCUAUUUAAUCUAAUUAUGAAUAAUGUGUUUUUAAAUAUUUUAUAUAAUGACAAUUAUGUUUCUUUACCUGCGUAAAAGAAUCUGUAAAACAUUGACCAAACACUUCUUGCUCCAAAGGUGUUCGACUUUUCAACCAAGCAGUCACCACAGGAUUCCAGUCCAAUCCUGAUGAACUCAUGUACACCAUUCCAUUACGAGAUACCGUAGCUGGACUUGCAUUGUCGAUAUUAUGAGGCUCAAAGAUGAUCUUGCAAUUAGAUGACAUCGAUAAUCGGUCACCAUUCGCAAGAGUCAGAGUUUUAUUGUCGUCCAGUACAGAGUUUAAGUUCUCGA